rnacentral:lncRNA from 1 species
GCAAUAAUAGCCAAGAAUAGUCCAUUUUAGUUGAAUAAGUCCUUGCGGGGGACUUCCACCAAAGUAGUGAAUCCUCACCCCGGCUCGCAUCAAAGGCACAUCAAGAAUUCGCUCGUCAUCACUAGUACAAAGGUGUUGUGCAAAAGUCCCUCAACCCAUUCAACGGCAAUCGUUAGCAUUAACUGGCCCACUGUGGCGUGCCUCAGCAAUGUACCCAAAAUAGAUAAGGACGGUCGUAAAUGUCAUCACCACCCCUAUCUAUCCUCCCAUAUGUGCACACUCCUUC